UAGUACGUGGAUUUAUUUCUUUUUUUAUUUUUUUAUUUUUAUGAAAUGUGUGUUUAGCAUCCUAAAUCUAAAAUUUGGCAUUUUCCCUACAUCCACUCCUGGGCUCUACCCACUUUGGUUCUCUUCCACAAGGCUUCGUCACACAACUGGAGGUGUUGCUUCCAAUCGCUCGUCUUCCAAAUAUGGGGCAGCGACAUUGAUCUAUUCCGAAAGAAGGAUUUGUAAAUACAAUGAAGGUUCAACAUGCAAAGGACAAUAGAAGUUGAAAGGAGAAUGAAUUUUGUAAAGAAAUUUGAAGUUGAGAAAUUUAUAUUUCCAAUUGAGAAUUUUAAACUUACUAUAGAUAUUGUCCAAUUUAGAAAUUUGUAAAGAGAUUUGUAUUUAAAGUUGAGAAUAUGUAGUACUGAUAAUGCAUCUUUGGUAUUAGCAACUGUAAUCUUUUAUUGUAUCUAAAGUUGGUAUUUUGUUAUUUGUAA